GGCCUGGUGGCGUAACUGGUAACGCGCGCAUUUACUGUGCUUUUCCUCGUAAUAUUCAAAUGAGAGACCCUCAUCCGAUUCGAGGUCAGGUCG